ensembl:snoRNA
CGAUGUCAGUUCCUCCUCCUGAUUGCAGUAUAUCAGGAGGAUUUUAUGAUGUCGCAGAGAAAUGUGGGUCUUUUUCACCCAGUAAGCUUAAGGCUGCGGCCAGAAAUGAAGCUUCCUGGUUUUGCAGGACCCAACAUAU